UCACCUGAAAUUUAAAUAUUUAGUUAUCACUUCUUUGAUAUUGUUCGACACAUUCAAGGCAUCCUUUUUUUAUGAACUGAUUUGAUUGACGUCUGGAAUUCUGGAUUUGAUAAAAAAAAAGCAUUAUUUCAAUCCAGAUUGAUUUAAUCUUUUAUGUUGUUUGUUCCUCCAGUUCAUGAAAGAUUAGAUUUGAUCAGAUUUUCAUGUGUCAUAUCCUAACAGGUGUGAAGCAUUUUCAACGUACCCUCGAACCUAUGAUUUACUCCAUGCAUGGACUGUCUUCUCCGACCUAGAAAAGAAGCUUGAUUCCCCCUCCACCUGGAUACAAGGUGAAAAUCCAUUGAGCAUAGAUGUGAUCCUCAGCAUAUCCUUGUGUACAUUUAUCUGAUUUUAGUAACAUUGAUUGUUUCUCUGAUGCUGCAGAUCCCUAUUAAGUGGCCACAAAGCAGAGAUGAGGUGUGGAAAGCAAAUAUCCCACAUACUCACCUUGCACAUGAGAAGUCUGAUCAGAAUUGGAUGGUUGUCAAAGGUGAAAAGAUAAACUUUCCUGGAGGAGGAACUCAUUUUCAUUACGGUGCUGAUAAGUACAUUGCAUCGAUUGCUAAUGUGAGGCUAAGUCUGACUCUACUAGUGUUUGCUAAAAAAAUAGAUGCAAUUAUGUAUUUUGUUUUUAGUAUUUGGAAUACCAUAGGAUUUUAGUAUUAUGUGUCUAUCUUUCUAGAUCUUUAUUUUUAUUAAAUGGCUCAGAGUAUCCCUAUAUGAAGAUUUGCUAUGAUUUCAUGGAGAAAUUAUAAUCUUACAUUCUAUUUUGCAUUGCCAGAUGCUCAACUUUUCAAACAAUAAUCUAAACAACGAAGGAAGGUUGCGGACAGUGCUUGAUGUUGGCUGUGGUGUUGCUAGUUUUGGAGCUUACCUCCUUUCAUCUGAUAUCAUUGCAAUGUCCUUGGCACCAAAUGAUGUGCAUCAAAAUCAAAUCCAGUUUGCCUUAGAAAGAGGAAUUCCUGCAUAUUUGGGUGUCCUGGGAACCAAGAGACUCCCUUACCCAAGCAGAUCUUUUGAACUUGCUCAUUGUUCUCGUUGUCGAAUUGAUUGGCUUCAAAGAGAUGGAAUACUACUACUUGAACUAGAUCGAUUGUUGAGGCCAGGAGGUUAUUUUGCAUACUCAUCUCCAGAAGCAUAUGCACAGGAUGAAGAGGAUCUAAGGAUAUGGAGAGAAAUGAGUGACCUUGUGGGACGCAUGUGUUGGAGAAUAGCUGCAAAAAGGAACCAAACUGUCAUUUGGCAGAAACCUUUGACAAACGAUUGCUAUAUGGAAAGAGAGCCUGGUACCCGCCCCCCUCUUUGUCAGUCUGAUAGUGACCCAGAUGCUGUGUGGGGAGUAAAUAUGGAAGCUUGUAUAACACCUUACAGUGAUCGUGAGUACCCUUUUCUCAAUGUUAGUUAUGGUUUUUGCAUUAUCUGACUUUGGUGAUUCUUUUUGGAGCUAUUUUAUGCCUGCUUCCUUAGUGGCAUGCAUUGUAUUUUUAUUCUAUGGUUUCUACUAUCCGUUCCAGCACGAAGAGUUAUUUCCCUAUAAUAUCUGCUUCGUUAUGUAGUAUGUGUCUCUCCAAGUUACAUUGAAUUGGCCUUAGAACUGAAUAUUGCAUUCUUUGCAAAGGAAUACCUCUUAGAAAACUGCUUUUGAACUGAGUGUGGUCGAGUAUUUGAGUAUGAAACUUGUUUGAUAUAGGCCUGUGUGUUGCAUUUACACUACUGAUUAGUUGUAGAAGCUCCCUAAUUUGCUUCAAAUUCAUGUCACCUGCGCACCAAGUUGCUAAAAUUUUGCUUAAAAUUUUAUUUUUGAUUUGUUUAAUUUUUAAUUAAAGAAUAUUUUUAUUUCCUUUAUCAGAUGACAACAGAGUUAAAGGUAGUGGAUUAGCUCCAUGGCCUGCAAGAUUGACUAGUCCUCCUCCUAGACUAGCUGACUUUGGCUAUUCAAGUGAUAUGUUUGAAAAGGACACGGUAAUUGAAAAUUACAAUUUUUCCGCUUCAUGAUGAUUGUGAUAUUUAUUCAUUCGUUGUAUACUGCGCAAUUCAUAAGCUUAAUAAACAAACUGUUGGGUUAAAUUUUGUCAUGUGGUACAGGAACUUUGGAAAAGGAGAGUAGAGAAAUACUGGAAUCUCUUGAAUCCUAAAAUCAAAUCAAACACACUGAGGAACAUAAUGGAUAUGAAAGCACACAUGGGUUCAUUUGGAGCUGCUCUUAGAGAUAAGAAUGUUUGGGUGAUGAACGUUGUACCCAAAGAUGGAUUAAACACACUCAAGCUCGUCUAUGAUAGAGGCCUCAUAGGCACUACCCAUGAUUGGUAUUGAAGCUCUUUCACCUGAAAUUUAAAUAUUUAGUUAUCACUUCUUUGAUAUUGUUCGACACAUUCAAGGCAUCCUUUUUUUAUGAACUGAUUUGAUUGACGUCUGGAAUUCUGGAUUUGAUAAAAAAAAAGCAUUAUUUCAAUCCAGAUUGAUUUAAUCUUUUAUGUUGUUUGUUCCUCCAGUUCAUGAAAGAUUAGAUUUGAUCAGAUUUUCAUGUGUCAUAUCCUAACAGGUGUGAAGCAUUUUCAACGUACCCUCGAACCUAUGAUUUACUCCAUGCAUGGACUGUCUUCUCCGACCUAGAAAAGAAAGAUUGCAGCCAGGAGGAUCUGUUGAUUGAGAUUGAUCGUAUCCUCAGACCAUCCGGUUACAUAAUCAUACGUGAUAAACAACCGGUGAUCGACUUUGUAAAGAAGUACCUAACCGCAUUGCACUGGGAAGCAGU
rnacentral:lncRNA from 1 species